AACACACGUAGUAGUAUAUGCGUGUGGCUCAAGUACAGAGGCUUCUCAAUGAUAGCGUAUUCCUCUUCACAGACUGAAUGUCUGUGUUCGAAAAAGAGGGGCAACCUGCGGACAGCAGGUAUGUUGAAACCAGGUCUUUUAUAGCACUUCUGUAGGCCAAAACAUAUACAGUGUAAGAUAACUUAUAAUAAUGCUGGAGUACAUGUUUAGGUGUCCAGCCCCACUCUGAUAGGAGUUAAAAAGGUAUGUUCUUUACCUUUUCUCCACUGUUGUGCUGGUCUUGCCAAGGCUGGCCCCGCCUUCGAGGCUGAGAUCAUCAAUCUUGAUCAUCUUAACCAAUCCAAUAUUUUCCCCAUAGAAAGCAAUGGGUGGCUAUUACGCAUGCACUGCAAAACACGGCACUAAUCAGCAACUUCUUAUAGGGAUGCAUUGAAUCAAUGCAUCUCUAUGGGGAGAGUUUAGCAUAUCCUGGAAGUUCCUCUAGUCUAUUAGCUGUCUGAGUGACUGCCAGUAGAAGUGUUACUAGGCAGCAAUGUAAACACUGCAUUUCCAGGGACAUGUUCUAUCCACCAGAGCCACACUACCUUAACCCCUUAAGGACCAAACUUCUGGAAUAAAA